rnacentral:rRNA from 1 species
ACCGGCAGCUCAAGUGGUGGCCAUUAUUAUUGGGCCUAAAGCGUUCGUAGCCGGUUUGAUAAGUCUCUGGUGAAAUCCCGCAGCUUAACUGUGGGACUUGCUGGAGAUACUAUCAGACUUGAGGUCGGGAGAGGUUAGGGGUACUCCCAGGGUAGGGGUGAAAUCCUAUAAGCCUGGGAGGACCAACGGUGGCGAAGGCGCCGAACGGGAACGAACCGGACGGUGAGUAACGAAAGUCAGGGGCGCGAAGCG